CGUGAGGAUUUUAACAAAUAUUAUUAUUAUCAUUAUUAGCUUCACUCUUCCAAAGGAAGGAAUUUCCAUCGAGAGCACAGGUUCAGAAAGCAGCGGGCAGACCACCAACCUCCUGGAGUCGUAGGGAACGUGCUCAAGUGGAAAAGAUGUGGUGCUCAGCACAGUGCUCUGCACUCGAGAGGCUCUCGGUCGAUACCAUCGAAUGAUAGAACGAUCGAACCUGCCGCCGCGGAUGUGUCCGGCUCAGAUCCCUAAAUGUUUCAGCCCAAGGUGACCCCAGCGGUAGCACGCUAAUCCGAGCACGCGUCCUCCUCCGCCUCGACGGCUUUUUCGGCCUCCCGCCUCUCCCCGCUUCGGCCCUCGCUUCACUCGGCUGCCCGGAUGACUCUUCAACCGAAACGUUCAGUUCCCGACUCCCCACUCCUCAAGAACCUCCAGCGGUCGCCCGUCCACCUCCGAGAGGAGCAGAAACUCCUUACCGUUGGCUUUAAAGCGCUCGGUGGCCUUGUCCGCUUCUUCCUUCACCUCGCCCCCCUACCGCUACGACCCGGAACCCCUCCCUCUUCCCAUCGGACAGACGAUGGCCCUCCACGGGGUCAGACAUUUCCCGAAGGCACAUCUCCUCCAAGAAGCCUUAUCGGACUAAGUCCUCAUCUGUUCUCCCAAUCUGUUCUGCGUCAUCCCGAUUUGCUCCCCUUAUUCACCUCACCCACUCGGCGGCUAUCUCCAUGUCGUUAAUCUGUUUAUCGAUCGACAUUAACGCCCCUCUCCCCUUCUGGACCGUAAGCUCGUCGCGGGCGGAGGACGUGCCUACCGUAUCGUCCCCACUGCUCGCUGCCGUGCUCUGCGCACAGUAAGCACACGGCGUGAGCUCGAUAAGCGUGCCUGUUGGAUCGACAGGCAUCGAAUCCCCAUUUUACAACCGAGGAGACGGAGCGAGGUGACUCACUCGAGGUGCCACGGUAGGGCAAAUGUCAGGAACGGGGGCGAGAACCCGGGUCCCGUGACCCGGCAGGCCGGCGCUCUCGUCGGGACGCGGACGGCCGAGCCGUGCGGGGGUCCGCGAGGAAGGGUCCCCGUGGACGCGUUUUCCUCCGGUCCCAGCCCGGACCCCUCGAUGGUGGUGGAAGGUUUACCCCCCACCCCCGCCCCAGGAAGCCACCAGGCCCCCCCUCUUGCCCGGGCAGCCACGAAACCUCAUCCUACUUAAUCCCACCCUCGACGGAGCCUCGGAGCGAUCCCGUUUGCGGAGGCCCGGCUCGGGGACCGCUCCACAGAUGCGCCCCCUCCCGGUUUCUCGGCUCCGGAUCACCCUGAGGGCUCGGCCCACUUAUCGCGUCGGGCCCGUAGGGUACACGGUAGCCUCGGGACGGCGUCGAGGACCCGGUGAGCUCCUGAUCGAUCGGACCGUGCCCGGCCUGAUGAUCUUGUACCUAUCCCCGUGCUUACCGUAGCUUUGGGCCGAUCUCAAUACGUCCGGGGCCGGGGUCAGUGGCGCCUUGGGGACCGACCCCGGCCUAGGGCCGGCCCGGGCUCACGGAGCUCGCAGUCUGGGGUCUCCGCCCCGCCGGUCCCUCUAGGUGCCCCCUGGGCCAGAGGUCCCCCGGCCGUGAGGACGGGAACCCUAAGAAGCAACGUGGCCUAGAGGAUAGAGCACGGGGCCUGGGAGUC